rnacentral:lncRNA from 1 species
AGACAUACACACCUAAAAUUAUAAAACAGCACCAGGUGAAGGGGGAGCCCAGAAAGAGACUCUGAGUGUCCUGGGGACAUCAGGGGAGGCCUUUUGGGGAUUAGGGUGGGGGGUGGGCUUGAAGGCAGCUCUUGGACAGAGGCUUCAGGGAGUAGGAGUUUGUUUGGCUGACCAGGCUUGUUGGGUCCAAGAGGAGGAAAUAAUAUGGAUGUUCCAUGGGGUCAAGAAUGGCAUCUCCCUGCAGGCUAAGACCGUGUAUUUUGAAGACCAUAGAGAGGUGUUGUUCCCAUACUUCUUAGUCAACGCAUGCCACUAACUGAUGAAGGUGGAUAGCGUUCUAAGCAUCCAGGAGCAGGUCAAAGGGCAUUUGGUGACGGUGGUGGAUGGUGAUGCAGUGCUGUGAUCGUGGUAAGGCAGUAACAUGAUUAAGAAGUGGACGACUGGAGUCUUCUGCUGCACGCUGUCCCUCUGCUUCCACCUUGCCUUCUCAUUUCCUUUUCUUUCCCGAUGCCCGCCCUCCUGCCUGCCUUCUUCACUCCCCUUUGUCUCUGUGGAGCACAGAGAGACAUGCUGGUUCUCACUGCUUGCUUUCCUCAUUCCCCCAACGCCCCUGGGUCCAAGGUUUGGUCUGGCUUGACCGAGGGGGGGCUGCUUCCGCACACGUGAUACCAGCAGCGUGGGGCAUGGCGGCCCUGCUGUGGCCUUGCUUGCUCCCCUGAUUAUUUCUCCUUAAUUGAGCGUAAAGAAUGUGAGGAAUGUGGUGUAGACCACGUGAGGAGGGCUGCUGCAGCCCUCUCAGGGACCCGGAUGCUGAGCUCUGGAUGGGAGAACUGCAGAUGGCCGCUGAACCCCACAUAGUGUGUGUCAUUCCUGGCCCCCAUCCUCCUCCCCAUGGUGCUGGGUCCACUUCUGCAAACUUUGGUGGAAAUCUAAAAGCUAUGUUUCUGGCUAUCCCUCAACCUUGCUUGACUGCUGGGAAUCCUGUGCCUGGGCUGUGGGAAGAUGUGAGUCCAGGUGUGAAGCCUGGGUGCUUGCCUGUCAGGAAGGCAGCCAGGUGAGUCACAGCUGGAGCGUGACAGUGAGAACUGGAGGGAAGUGCUACAUGCAUCUCCUCCUACACUUUCCUCUGCCCACUCAGGGUCCAGCCUCCGAUUCUCAGGUGGAGUGUGACAUGAGGAGGAAGCUCAGGUUGAACACUCAGUCCUGGCCCUGUCCAGUUGUCUAGUAGCUCUGUGACCUCAGGUGAAUGUUUUUAUCCUCUCUGAGGCUGUUCCCUCAUGUUUAAGAUGAUGGUGGUAAUUCCAUGCUUGCAGAGUCGUAAAGAUGAAAUUAGAUGGGCUGAAGCGUCUGAAGCGCAUGGUAGGUGCUCAGGAAGUAUUAGUUUGGCUCUUCGGAGGAGACUGGACGAAGGGGGUGAAUUUUUCUAAAAGAGGCUUUGUUUCCUGUGGCAAAUGCAGUAGGCCAUGCCGGGAGAGCCUCAGAGGGGCAGGGUGAUGCCGAGAAACCCAGUGCUAGGACUUCUACCCAGAG